GAUGAACGCUGGCGGCGUGCCUAAUACAUGCAAGUCGAGCGAACAGACGAGGAGCUUGCUCCUCUGACGUUAGCGGCGGACGGGUGAGUAACACGUGGAUAACCUACCUAUAAGACUGGGAUAACUUCGGGAAACCGGAGCUAAUACCGGAUAAUAUAUUGAACCGCUUGGUUCAAUAGUGAAAGACGGUUUUGCUGUCACUUAUAGAUGGAUCCGCGCCGCAUUAGCUAGUUGGUAAGGUAACGGCUUACCAAGGCAACGAUGCGAAGCCGACCUGAGAGGGUGAUCGGCCACACUGGAACUGAGACACGGUCCAGACUCCUACGGGAGGCAGCAGUAGGGAAUCUUCCGCAAUGGGCGAAAGCCUGACGGAGCAACGCCGCGUGAGUGAUGAAGGUCUUCGGAUCGUAAAACUCUGUUAUUAGGGAAGAACAAAUGUGUAAGUAACUAUGCACGUCUUGACGGUACCUAAUCAGAAAGCCACGGCUAACUACGUG
rnacentral:rRNA from 1 species